CCUAUCGCGUCGUCUACAUCACCUUCGUGUAGGUCGGUUGGGGCAAGCAGCAGGCACAAGGGGAUCUUUGCCGUCCCCUCCCCUCCCGUCACGCACGCAACCACCGGUGCGUCCAUGCGUUCGAGCGAGCCGCUCUUUUUCCUUGGGCUGCUCAUGUGCAUCCUCGCCUUCAUCACGCGCCACUGCGAGCGCUUCCCAUUUAUCCUGAUUGGCAAUCGUGAUGAGGAGCUGGCAAGGGUCACUGGUGGGCUGACACUGGACACAUCCACAGGGCUUGUGUGGGCGCUGGAUCGACGCGCCGGUGGGUCGUGGAUGGGUAUCGAGCCUCGCAGCGGGCGUUUCGCCAUUCUUACAAACUGCCGACGCUCGCCAGCCGCACCUUUGACCUGCAGCGCAAAGGCACGCGAUGCGGGCCAGUGCGGCGGUAGCGAGAGAGGUGAGCCGGCACAGCGCGCAGGGCUUUUCACCGCAGCUGCCGUGUGGCGCGGGGCUGCACCGCUCUCGCACAUCUGCGCACACACCACCGUGGUGCCGGUGACUGCCUUGCCGACCGUACUGGCAACGGCCAAGACAGCAGCGGAAGACAGUCGUUGCCCUCAACACAGCAAGCAGCUGCGGACGGUGACACUCGCCUACGAUCCACCGACGUCGCGCGGCCUGGUCAUCAAGAACUUUCUGCAAACGGGUAUUCUGCCUGGGGACACCGCGCAGACGCCGAUGGGUUGCACAAGAAGCGAGGACGCUGACGCAUCUCUGGGCAAGGACGAUGCACUAGUGGCAGCGCUGCCGGCUGUACUGCGAGUGCCUCCCUACUACGCCGGCUUCAACCUUCUCUCCUGCGACGACCUUCGUCGGUGCGGCGUCGAUGCUGUAGCAUCGGAGCAUGGGCGGCACGAGUCUGGCAACACAAGCGCCGCCGCACCGGAGAUCCUCUACACAACAAAUCGGUACACUGCCGAGCACCGGUGCCCGGUUGCACCAGGCCAGGUGCACUGCUUACAGAACAGUUACUUGGACAACAUGCAUGGCGAACCCAUUACGGCCCGACUUGGGCAACUCUUCACGGACGCCCUCCACCGUGUGAUCGACCCCAUCGCAGCGGAGCAGCCCCCCUCGUCGACGUCGGGCAUUACUCCAGCCAUGGUAACGGAGGUGGCGACGGCACUAGCGGACGAGUGCUUGUGCGACCGCUGCAGCUUCGACUUGCCCAAGAUGGAGAAGACGGCGUUCUCGGCAGCGGCGGCGGCGGCCCUGCACGCGCAGCUGCACUCGAAUAACCCGCUCCUGGGCUUUACUGAGAAGGAGCUCCAUGAGUACUUUGGCAACAGCGCCGCCGGUGAUGAGGAUGACGUUUCGGUUCGGUUUUGUGACGGGGGCGCCGCGACGCGUGAGGCCUACCUGCAGUCGAGCAUAUUCAAGCUGCCAUUUCGUGGUUAUGGCACACAGAUGCAGUCGAUGGUGUUAGUGGAGCGGGUUGCAGCGGUGCCGUCGACGCUUUCCAACGUGGUGUCGUCUGCAAGCGCCACCACGGUCAUCCACUUCUGUCAGCGAAAGGUGUCGUUUGACGUGGCAACACAGAGUGUGGUGGCGGCGCCGUGGAUUGCCUACCGCAUCCUCCAAGACGGCAGCUGCCUGCGCGACUCCGCAGAGAUACCAGCGCCAUAAUGCGCAUAGAUACGUACGCGCAUACACACACACACACCGAUGUGCUCAUUGAAGGCCUCAUCCCGCAGCGGUUGAUGCGAGCACGGAAGAGCUCCCGUACGGACGAUACACCGCGGCGAAAGGGAGUCGAGUGGGG
rnacentral:misc_RNA from 1 species